GAAAUGCGAUAAGUAGUGUGAAUUGCAGAAUUCAGUGAAUCAUCGAAUCUUUGAACGCACAUUGCGCCCCUUGGUAUUCCAUGGGGCAUGCCUGUUCGAGCGUCAUUUGUACCCUCAAGCUCUGCUUGGUGUUGGGUGUUUGUCCCGUCUCCGCGCGUGGACUCGCCCCAAAGUGAUUGGCAGCCGGCGUACUGGUCCCGGAGCGCAGCACAUGUCGCGCAAACGAGUGCCUUGAUACGGCGGCGUCCAUAAGCCCCUCUCUCACGCUCUUGACCUCGGAUCAGGUAGGGAUACCCGCUGAACUUAAGC
rnacentral:misc_RNA from 1 species